CCCUGGUGGCUCAGAGGUAAAGCAUCUGCCUGGAAUGCAGGAGACCCGGGUUCGAUCCCUGGAUCAGGAA
rnacentral:tRNA from 1 species